GAGUUUGAUGUGGCUCAGGACGAACGCUGGCGGCGUGCUUAACACAUGCAAGUCGAGCGGGGACAUUGAGGAGCUUGCUCCGAGAUGUUCUAGCGGCGGACGGGUGAGUAACGCGUGAGCAAUCUGUCCCAGACAGGGGAAUAACACAUUGAAAGAUGUGCUAAUACCGCAUAAGACCACGAGAUCGCAUGAUCUUGAGGUAAAAGGAGCAAUCCGGUUUGGGGUGAGCUCGCGUCCCAUUAGCUAGUUGGUGAGGUAACGGCCCACCAAGGCGACGAUGGGUAGCCGGCCUGAGAGGGCGACCGGCCACAUUGGGACUGAGACACGGCCCAGACUCCUACGGGAGGCAGCAGUGGGGAAUAUUGGGCAAUGGGCGAAAGCCUGACCCAGCAACGCCGCGUGAGGGAAGAAGUAUUUCGGUAUGUAAAGCUCUAUCAGCAGGGAAGAAAUUGACGGUACCUGACUAAGAAGCACCGGCUAAAUACGUGCCAGCAGCCGCCGCAGUAA
rnacentral:rRNA from 1 species